AUUGAACGCUGGCGGCAGGCCUAACACAUGCAAGUCGAGCGGAUGACGGGAGCUUGCUCCUUGAUUCAGCGGCGGACGGGUGAGUAAUGCCUAGGAAUCUGCCUGGUAGUGGGGGACAACGUUUCGAAAGGAACGCUAAUACCGCAUACGUCCUACGGGAGAAAGCAGGGGACCUUCGGGCCUUGCGCUAUCAGAUGAGCCUAGGUCGGAUUAGCUAGUUGGUGGGGUAAUGGCUCACCAAGGCGACGAUCCGUAACUGGUCUGAGAGGAUGAUCAGUCACACUGGAACUGAGACACGGUCCAGACUCCUACGGGAGGCAGCAGUGGGGAAUAUUGGACAAUGGGCGAAAGCCUGAUCCAGCCAUGCCGCGUGUGUGAAGAAGGUCUUCGGAUUGUAAAGCACUUUAAGUUGGGAGGAAGGGCAGUAAGUUAAUACCUUGCUGUUUUGACGUUACCGACAGAAUAAGCACCGGCUAACUCUGUG
rnacentral:rRNA from 1 species